UUUGCUCUGGCCCGAGUGAAGACUGAAGACUGAAGACUGAAGAGGCUUGGCUUCUCCGCUCCGGCCGGAGCAGAGA
rnacentral:pre_miRNA from 1 species